AAAGGAAGGGUUGGAGGGAUUGGCUUUUAGGAUAAAAAUAUAUUAAUAUACGGGAUGACAAUAAUAAUGGCUAGUACUCUGUGGCAAGCAAUGUAUAAAGCGCUUUCCAUGUAUGAACUCAUUUAAUCCGAUUCUGUGAGAUAAGUGUCAUUUAAAAAUAAGGCACAUGGGCUUCCCUGGUAGCGCAGUGGUUGGGAGUCCGCCUGCAGAUGCAGGGGACGUGGGUUCGUGCCCCGGUCCGGGAAGAUCCCACAUGCCGUGGAGCGGCUGGGCUCAAGUAAAUAAAAUAAAACCCAACUAAAAAAAAUAAUAAUAAUAAGGCACAGAGGGAUUUCCCUGGUGGUCCAGUGGGUUAAGACUCCAUGCUCUCAGUGCAGGGGGCCCGGGUUCAAUCCCUGGUUCGGGAGCUAGAUCCCGCAUGCAUGCCACAACUAAGAAGUCCACAUGCCGCAACAACAACAACAACAAAAAGAUCCUGCAUGCCACAACAAAGAUCCCGCGUGCCACAACUAAGACCCAGAGCAGCCAAAAUAAAUAAAUAAAUUUUUUUUUUAAUGAAAAAAAAAUAAGGCACAGAGAAGUGCAGUGAUGUGCCCCAUGUCACAUAGCGAAAAAGUCAGGAAACUGGGAUUGCAACCCAGACUGCUACCCACCUCAAUAAUGGGCUCCAUAUCCUGACCUGCAUGCCCCCCAUCAUCCCUCUGCCCAAGCCCCAGCCUCCCACCGACCGGCUCCACAGGGUUCCAGCCUAAGCAGGCUACCGGAAGGAGGCGCUGCACUUCCUGCUCCUACAGUCUGGUGUGGUCCCCACUCCUGCCCUGAAACUCGACUCCAUGUUCCUCACUCACAGCCAAACCUGUAGGCAAACAGGCUCCCAUACUGUCUUUGUGGCUUCUCUGUCACUCACCACUCAGUUACCACCCUCAAGGGCCCACUCGCCUGGUAUCCCGGAUGCUGCGCUCACUGCUGGACCUCUUGCUGGCCUUCGCACAGGCUGUUCCCGCUGCAACGCUCGUCCCCACCCUCUUGCUGGGGUCGCUCCUCCUCAUCCAUCAGGUCUCAACUCACAUGUGCCCUCCCUCCUCCAGGAAGCCCUCCUUGACCCCUUAAGCUGCAUCAGGUGCCUUGCUAGGGUUGAAUAGCUGUGAGAGCUCCUCCAGUCACAAAUCUAAACCCAAUCUACCCUGAGCUUCCCCCUCACAGCCCUCGUCCCUCUGCCUAGGCUUCCCCGAUCCCAGCCGGAACCAUUGUGAGCCAUUGUCUCACAAUGGUUGUGAGACAAUGUCUCACAAAUUGUCUCACAAAUUACAUUUGUCUGGUAAUUUGCCUCUCCUCCUCUGGACUGCGAGCAACAUGCGGGCAGAAACUAGGGCUAUUUCAGUCACUGCUGUGCCCCUAACAUCGCCCACCUCAGGGUCAGGCUCAGAGGAGGCUUGGCUCAGAGGAGGAUGGAAGUUGGACAAAUCCCCACCCAGGAAGAGAGCUGGGGUGUCACUCACGGAACAUGGCAUCCAGUCUGACCAGGCAGCUGAUGAAGUUGUCAAAAUCCAUGUUCCCUCCCU